AGACAACUCUCAACAACGGAUAUCUUGGCUCCUACAACGAUGAAGAACGCAGCGAAAUGCGAUACGUAGUGUGAAUUGCAGAAUUCCGUGAACCAUCGAAUUUUUGAACGCAUAUUGCGCUCGAGGCCUCGGCCAAGAGCACGCCUGCCUCAGGGUCAUGA
rnacentral:rRNA from 1 species